UUUACUUCCCUUAUCGUCAAACUUUUAACUACUAUUUUUUAUAAAAACACUACUUUUAAAGAAUGCAUUGCAUUAUCGCACUAUAUGAAGUGUUCUUCUAAAAAGAGAUAAAAAAAAAAGCUUAUGCAUAUCACAUUAUAAUUAUAUUUAAAUAACAUUAAAAUAGUUAAAAUUUAUUUUACACUAUAUGAUCCUUUAUUUUGAUCUCACUUUCCUCUUUUACAAGGACAAGCUAAUGCAACACAUGGAAUAUGGAUGUUCUGCUAUUUCCAAGUGAGAGAAAAUCCACGGUCAUGAGGAGCGAGUAUAGCCCCACGACCUCCUCAUUUCCCCCUCAUCACCAAUGAUGCACCAAGUAUAGUCUCUAUAUCCAAGGCAAUGAUCAAGUGAUAAUAUUUGUUUCCACUUGAAUCAAUCCCAUGACAAUGCAAUGAAUAUAAUAUUCAAGGGGAAAAUAAGUAGUCGUAACUCUCGGGGAUCAAGCGCUUUCCAUAUAGCUACAAACAUGUAAUCACUAGCACACUUUUACUUCAAAUAAAUACCCCUAGUAUAGGCAAAUGAAA